AAUCAUCAGCCAGCAGACUGAACUUUUUAAUGUGAACUGGAAUACCGGGCAAUGACUUUUGUAGUUACGAAUUUUCUAAGUACAUUGACAAACAGAGCUGCGAUUUCAGAACAUUCCGUAUGAGCAUGGAAUCAAUCGAAAACUAUGUAAAAUAUCAGGUAUAUACUCGUAUAUAAUCAAUUCUUGACACGAAUGCUGCGGUUGUGGCACAGCCAAUUAUUUGGUGUGUUAACGUCGCGCAAUCGACACGAUGAAUCGCUAAUUGGGGAAAAAAUAAUGACAGCACCGUCAAUUAAAAUAUGGUGUAAAUUUAUUUGUAUCACCUUGCAUGCAGGUUUUAAUUAAAGAUUCUGGAGAUGUUACUG